GUCACUUUGCCGGAGUGGUUAACGGGUUCGCCUGCUACUUAUCGCUUACGUAAUACGCGAAAUUUAACCGCAGCGGAUGUGCUUUGCACGCGUGUGUUCGAAUCGCACAGGUGACG